UACGUAGGAGGCGAGCGUUGUCCGGAUUUACUGGGCGUAAAGCGCGCGCAGGCGGCACCUCAAGUAAGGUGUGAAAUCUCCCUGCUCAACGGGGGAGGUGCACUUUAGACUGGGGGAGCUAGAGGACGGUAGAGGGGGGGGUGGAAUUGCUGGUGUAGCGGUGAAAUGCGUAGAGAUCAGCAGGAACACCCGUGGCGAAGGCGGCCCCCCUGGGCCCGUACCUGACGCUGAGGCGCGAAGGCUAGGGGAGCGAACGGGG
rnacentral:rRNA from 1 species